rnacentral:lncRNA from 1 species
UUCAUAUUUUAUUUUUUUAUUUUUUUGAAGUUUUGAAAAUUUCAUAUUUUUCUCUUUUCAAUUUUUUGUAAUUUUGAAGGUUUUUAACUUUUUUCAAUUUUUGGGAUCUUCUUUUAAUUUUCAAACUUUUUAGAUUUUUUAUUAAAAAUUUCAGUUAUUAUUUUUCUAAUCUUUUUUGGAUUUUUUAAUUUUUCUUUUUUUUCUUUUUUUUUUUAAAUUUUCAUAUUUUUAGGAAAAAUUUUUACUUUUUUAUUUUUUUGGAUUUUUUAAAGUUUUCUAAAUGUUUUUGAAUUAAAAAAAAUUUCAUAUAAUUUUUAGUUUUUAAUUUUUUGUAUUUUGUAUAUUUUUUGAAUUUUUUAAAUGCUGACGUGCCACCAUUGAAAUUCUUUUUUAAGUAUUGAUGAGUACUAACUGGGAACCUCAAGCAACAUAAAACGACAGACACGUGCCAAUAUAAAAAAAAACCAAACGCGACGAUUUGAGGCAGCAGCAACCAUUGAAAUCUUGGUCUUCAUUAGAUACUCAGUCACCUAAUUCACGUAAAGUAUGAGAGAAAUUCAAGCAAGUCACAACUUUAAAAAUAUAAAAUUAAAAAGCACAGUAAGAUUUGUUUUUUAAAAAGAAGAUAUAUAUUAUAUAUAAUAAUACUCUUAGUUUGCAUAUUUUGUUUUAUUUUACUUAAAGUUGGGUUGGGAACGUGGAGAGCUAUAGUGAGUUUGGCUACCUUGUCAAACUCUUGGUUGUUGUUGCUUUCAAGAUUUGAAACAUGAAAGCAAGGUGGAUUUGCGUGUUCAAACUUUGUUUCAUCAAAAGGUUAGUCUCCUUUGCAAGUUUCCUUUUUUUUUGUUUUUUUCUAUUACUUGUCUUUGCCCCCUCUUUCAUCUUUUUCUUUUUUUUUUUUUCCUUCACUUAUUUCUUUCAUAUGGAUCUUAGCCUUUUCAUCUGACUGUUUAGAUUUUUCUACGUAAGAACUAAGCAACUUUUGGGUUUCAUCGUUUUUACAUAACAACAUCAAAUAAUAUUUACUAUUAUCUUGCCACUAAAGAAAAAUAUCAAAUAGUAAUAAUAACUUCAAAGAAAAGGCUGAAAAUCUAAACAAUCACAUGAAAAGGCUGAAAAAGAUCGGACAUGAGGAAAUAAGUGAGGAAUAAAAAAGAAAAGAUGAAAGAGGGGCAAAGACAAGUCAGAAAAUUUUGGAACCGGGAAAGGAGACUAACCUUAUACUAAAGCAAAGUUUGAACACCCAAAUCCGCCUUACUUUUAUGUUCCAAAUCUUGAAAGCAGGAAAACAACCAAGAGUUCGACAAGGCAGCCAAACUCACUUGCACCCUCUGGUACUUCUCUUCACAGUUGAUCAUUUUGAGAAGAAUUUUUCUCCGUCGUUGCCAUUAAAUAGACAAUGAGUAACAUCAUGCAACAUCAUUGCAAUAUUUAUAUUAUUAUCUUUCUUUUUCACAUUGGGCAAACUACACUUACCCAGUUUCAUUUUACUCACUUUUCAGUUGAAAAAUAUUUUUUUGGGGGAUUUGGUCAAAAAGACAUUAAUUCUUUGAGAUGUUAUUUAUUAAGUUAAUUUUAAUUGAAAAGAUAUACCUUUUAUUAAAUAUUAUUUUCUAUUUAUUUAUUUAUUUUUCUUUGUUUGUUCUUUUUAUCCAAGAUUUCUUUUUGACUACAAAAUAAUGAGUUAAUUAGUUUUAAGUUUUUUUGAAUUGAAUUCUAUUUAAUUAUAUUCUAACUUAAGUACAUGUUAAAUAUUUUAAAUUUACUUUAUUUCAAUUAUAUAUUAAUUUUGAGAUGACUAUAUUAUGUUAUUUUUAUUAUUUUCAGAAAAAAAAAAGUCAUGGAUGAUACUUAUAUUUUGUUUUUUCUUCCCUUUUACUUUCCCUUCUUUUUCAUUUUUUUAAUUAGUUUUUUAUCAUUAUUUAUUUAAAUGUAAUUAAUUUAUUAACUAAAGAUAAUUUAACAAAUU